rnacentral:rRNA from 1 species
UACGUAGGGGGCAAGCGUUGUCCGGAAUCACUGGGCGUAAAGGGCGCGUAGGUGGCGUCGCAAGUCGAUGGUGAAAGCUCGUCGCUCAACGGCGAGUCGGCCAUUGAUACUGCGAGGCUGGAGCACUGUAGAGGCAGAUGGAAUCCUGGUGUAGCGGUGAAAUGCGCAGAUAUCAGGAGGAACACCAACGGCGAAGGCAGCUCUCUGGGACGUUACUGACGCUGGAGAGCGAAAGCGUGGGGAGCAAACAGG